rnacentral:lncRNA from 1 species
AUGAGGAGAUGUUGUAGUCCAUAUGUACUUUAUACUUAUAAAAAUUUCACCUCAAAUUCUGCAGAACACUUCUGGCAUAGUAACCCUUUAAUGUUGUAUUUAUGGAUGUCUAUGCAAAGAAGAAAGCAUGUAUUUUUUUUCAUCACCCCUUAUCAUGAAAGCAGUUAUUUACAUGCAGAUGCAAAUAAGUUCAACGUAACUAUGAUGGAGAAAUGGAGGCAUUUAAAAACAAGGAUUAUGGUCAGAGAAUAAAUCUAAAAAUUGAUCUUAUUUCUGCAAACUUUCCUCGGGAGUUCUGUCGGUGGCAUUUCAC